GAUGAAGAACGCAGCGAAAUGCGAUAAGUAAUGUGAAUUGCAGAAUUCAUUGAAUCAUCGAAUCUUUGAACGCACCUUGCGCCCUUUGGCUAUUCCGAAGGGCAUGCCUGUUUGAGUAUCGUGAACACCUCAACUCUCAUGGUUUGCCAUGAUGAGCUUGGACUUUGGGGGUUUUGCUGGCCUUUGGUCGGCUCCUCUCAAACGGAUCAGCUUUCCAGUGUUUGGUGGCGUCACGGGUGUGAUAACUAUCUACGCCUGUGGUUUUCUGCCAGAUAACCUUCAGCGAUGGAGGUUCGCUGGGGCUCAUAAAUGUCUCUCUUCAGUGGAGACAGCUUUUUGGACGUUUGAUCUCAAAUCAGGUAGGACUACCCGCUGAACUUAAGCAUAUCAAUAAGCGGAGGA
rnacentral:misc_RNA from 1 species